CAGAAAUAAGGGACCUCAGUCAGUGCUAAUGUGCAUUUCCAUUUCUGAUCUCCCUGUUUAUAUUUAUACUGUGGUGUUGUGUGCCUUUCUACUGUCAUCCUAACCUGACUAUUACAUCAGGGUGACUUUGAAAGCUUCAAAAAGGAGAACGAAGACAUUCAGAUUACAACUACUCUUGAAAGUCCUUUAUUUAAAUUCUAGCUAGAAAAGAGAGAGAAUAAAUCCAUUGUAUGUAAAAUUUUGUUUGACAUUUCCAAAAGUUAUGACUGAAAUAAAAUCCAUAACAGGACUGUGACAUAAGCUGUCUUCAGGUACGCCCUUCUCAUCUUUAUACUCUCCUAUACAACUACAAUGGACGUGAGGAAACAGCUGCAAGUUGUGCCAGGGGUGGUUUCUGUCAGGUGUCGGGUAGAAUUUCUUCACUGAUCAGCAUUGCAACAGUCUGCUGAGGGAGGUGGCAGAGUUGCCAUAACUGGAGGUACUGAAGAAAAGUGUGGAUAUGGCACUUAGGAAUGUGGUUUAGUAUUAGGUGAUAAUAAUCUUCCAGGGUAAAUCUAUAAUUUUUCAUUUUAUUGAAUAAAUAUAUGCUACAUACAUACAUAUUAUAACAUAACUUAUGAUUAAACGGCAA